rnacentral:misc_RNA from 1 species
AGUGGCCAUUUUCGGCACACCGCGACAGAAAAUGCCCAUUAUUUUGUUCUAUAUAGUAGAUAUCUACAUACAAGUAUAAUAUAUUACUUAAAUAAAAUAUUAAAUUUAUUUGUAUCAAGAGUCAAAGAUGAAAAAUUAAUUAAUCGUUUGUUGGCAACAGGAAUUUUACAGAAAUGGAUGGAAGACGACUUUGCUACACGUAUAAAUCACCGCAAAGACAUUGAGGAUCAUGUGAUCAAGAUGGAACAAUUGCAAGGUGUCUUUUGUUUGUUACUGUCU